GGGAAGGGAAGGGAAAGACCCAAAGGUUAGGGAUUUUUGUUAAAAAAUUUUAAUAUAUUAUAAUUUAUAACAGGAUUUUAUAGCCGGGCCGGGCCGAAUCGGGCCAUUUUUAAUGUUUCCAGGCCCGGCCCGAUUUUUUUGGUCGGGCCGCUUUUCCUGCCCAGACCCGACCAAUGGGCUCUUUUUCAAUGCCCAAGCCCGAAAAAUUUCGGGAUCGGGCCGGGCGGGCUGGGCGGGCCAGAAGGCCCGUGAUCACCUCUAUGUGAAAUAUAGUAUAGUGAAAGAAUAAAUAAACAAAAUUGUAAGUAAAAAAUAUUUUACUAAAUUAAUCUCCUAUUCUCGAGGUCAAUUGCAAAAUAUUGAUCGUCAUUUUUUACAAUUAGUGGAAGCCCAUAAAUUCAGAAUUAAAAGAAUAUAAAGAAUUUUAUGAAAAAAAAAUUUCAGUGAUUUUACGGUUGAGAAUAAAGAUCUUUAAGGAUCCCACGCAUAUCAUUGCCUAGAGUUUUAUGUGGUGGCUAUAAAUAGCCAGGGUUGACUAUCAGAACCAUUAGUUACAUACAAAAGUUGUGAGAGCUACAAAACUCAAGGGAGGAAGUGAGCAUGAAUCUUUUAGGAGGCAAUACGCUUGAGUUGCUAGUGGUGAGAUUUAUGUUCCUUUCACUUUAUUCAUUGUUUUGCAGAAUUCUUUUAUUGAUUUUCUUCCGCUGCGGGGAAAGAAUUCUAGAUUUUCAGAAAAAUUAUUCUUCAACUGGUAUUAGAGCCCAGGUUUGUCUAAGAGCAUAGAUCUUCUAUUGUUGAGCAGAUAAUUGAUUUAAUUUGAGAUUAAUCAUGCAAUAUGAUUGUCUAUGAUUUUUGGAUUAAAUUAAAAUAAAGAAGAAGAAAGGAUGAAGGAAAAGGAUUUCACAGUUGACCUUUUUCCUUUCCAUCCCGUAGACCUCUCUUUUUUUCCUACUCCCACAAACUUCAUCUUCUUCCAUCUUCCCGUUUCUAGUCCCCUUAUAGAUCUAAACAGGGAGUAUGAGGAAAAUGAAGGAAAAAGAAGAGGAGGAAGCAGAAAAGUCUUCCUCACCUCCAGCUCACCUCCAGCCGGCCCCUCUGCACCGUGCCAUGGCGGCGGAAGGGAGCCGAGGUGGCUCGCUCGCCACCCCCACGGGCGGACGCAGCCGCUGCGGCGGGCCGUGAGGGCGCAUCCCGAGCCACCCCAUGGCCGGCACAGGCCGGGGGGGUGGGGUUGUGGCGACCCCAGGGGCUCGGCCACUCCAUAGACGAGCCGGGCCAUUCCGCCGCAGGCGGAGCCCAGCCACCCCAUGUCCGAGCCCGGCCAUUCCGUCGUAGGCGAAGCCCGACCACCCCACGUCCGAGCCCGGCCGCUCCGCGGGCCGGCCGCCCGCCACGGGUGGCGUCGCCGCAACCUGCGGAGGGGUCGCCGACCACGGGUUGCCACCAUGGGCAGCCACGGGCUGCCUCUCAAAAUAAAAACAAACAAACAAAUAAAAAAAAAAAGAGGAACAGUUGGAAGAAGAAGUAGGGCAAAGGGAGAAAAAUAGUUUAGGGUUUUUCUUUUAAUUGGGCUUGGGCUUGUAAAGCCCUAUCCAAAUGGGUCCGUCGUUGCGGAUUGGGCCUUUUAUUUGGUCAGCCCAUGUUUAAUUUAUUUGCACCGUAUUUUAAUGGACCAGAAUGGAUUUUGGGCCUGAGGCUAAGAAUAAGUAAUCCAUUUAAUUGUUAUUUAAAUAUUAAAUAAUUUGAAUUAAAGUCUAAUUAGUAUGACUAAUGUACUAGAGACUAUGCAUGCCAAUUUGACAUGAUAUUUGGGUUUGAUCCGAUUUGACCAUAAAUAUUAUUAUAAUAAUGUUUUCAGAAAAUAUUAUUUAAUUCAAAAAAAAUAGUGCUAAAUAAGGUUAUUUCAAAACACCUAGGCCCUCCAUUGUUGGUAGAUUGGAACACUUUUAAUUAAUCUUGGUUGAAACUAAAAUAGUUAAUGCCAUUAUUAAUUUUUGGAGUUCUGGUUUAGUUUUUGGAAAAAUAAAUGUGUGCAUUAGUAGUGAGAGUGUUAUUAAAAUAGUAGCACAAUCUCACUUAAAAUGCAUACCAUUUAAACAAUGGAUAACACUUAACCAAAUGAACAUAUAUGCUAAUAGCAGAGGAUUGUGUUUGAUUUGGUGGCUAAAAGAAAAUCAAGAGUCAUAGAAAUUUGCAUAUAAGAUAUAUGACAUGAGAUGUGAUCAUGAUGAAUAGCAUCUAUUCGCUUUACAAGUUAUGCCAUAAUUACCAAAAUGGAAUUAUUAUUGUACAUAGGGUAAAAGUUCUUGAUACCCACUUAGACAGUGAAUAUAAUUGUUAUAUUCUGGUUUAUUUUUAAAUACGAUUACUAUAUUUGCUUGAUUACUUUGUCUGAGUGGGAGGUACCAAUGGUUGAAAAAAAAUCUAAGACUAGUGGAAAGCAUAUAUGUGAAUGUUUUCGCAGGUUAAUCAUGACCAACUUUAACCAUAUUCUAGAAUUUUAGAUGAUAACCAUUUGACUGGGCCAAAUUUUAUUGGUUAGAAGAGGAACCUAAUGAUUGUUCUCAUUGCUAAAAAGAUUGUUCAUGUCCUAAAGGGAGACCCACUACAGCUUGCUGUAAAUUAUGCCACCGAAGAGCAAAGGAUUGCUUUUGAUAAAUGGUAUGAUGACAAUGAGCUUACUAGAUGCUACAUACUGGCCUCUAUGACCAAUGUGUUGCAGAAGCAAUGCGAGGGUAUACCUACAACAAGAGAUAUGCUUAUGCAUCUCUAGAAAAUGUUCGAAGAGCAAAGCAGGUCUGCACGCCAGCAAAUAAUGAAAUUGCUAAUGACCACCAACAUGGUGGAAGGUACUCCAGUUCAGGAUCAUGUCCUAAAGAUGAUUUCUCACAUUGACGAACUGAAGACUCUGGGUGCAAAUAUAGAUGGUGAGACCAAGGUAGAUGCGAUCCUUUCAUCUUUGCCUGAAAAUUAUAAUCAGUUCAUACUUAAUUACAAUAUGAACAAGAUGAGUUCGACUCUAUCUGAGCUGCUCAACAUGUUGCAAACAGCAGAAGAACUGAUUAAGAAAGAGAAAGGUUCUCUUAUGCUAUUUGAUAAAUCAGUAUCCUCCUUUGGAACCAAGCCAUUUCAUCCUAAGGGCAAGAGGUUCAACAAUAAGAGGAAGUGGUCUCAGAAGUCUCGAGCUGGUCCUCCAACCAGGGAGACUAAGGAACAGUACAAGGGCAAUACAGAGAAGAAGCCAAAAGAAAAUUGUUUCCAUUGUGGCAAGCCAGGACACUGGAAGAAAAACUACUGCACUUAACUUACUUCUCUGAAGAAUAAGAAACCUUCUGAAGGGGUUCAAGAAAACCCGAAAAUCAAAUGAUGAGAAGGUGACUCUGAGGAUUGGGACGGGUGCAAUUGUUGCAGCGACCGCCAUCGGGACCUUUUAUUUGAGUCUACUUAAGAAUAAGACCUUAGUUCUAAAAGAUUGUCUUUAUGUUUCAGAAGUUCGUAUAAAUUUGAUUUCUGUUUCAAAACUGGCUUUGUGUAGUCAUUCAUUGACUUUUAAUUCAAAGAUUGUUAUUAAAUUUCAAAAUCAUUUGUGGCUUCUGGUGAUAUUGUGAUUGGUCUUUAUAUUUAAAAUCAUGUAGUAGACUCUGUUAAUUGUGUUGAGGGAGAUGCAAGUACCAGUGUGAAAAACUUUAAAAGAAAGAGGGAUGUGAAUCCUACUUACAUGUGGCAUCUGAGGCUUGGUAAUGCUAAUCUUGAUAAGAUCAAUAGAUUAGUCAAGGAUGGGCCUUUGAAACUUUCAAAAAUUGAGCCUUAUCUAGAAUGUGAACCUUAUUUGCAAGGCAAGAUGACCAAGAGGCCCUUCACAGGGAAAGUAGCUAGAGCCAUAUGAUUAUUAGAGUUAGUACACAGAUAAAUGUGGUCCAUUUAACCACAUAGCUAGAGAUGGUUUCUCAUAUUUCAUCAUGUUUGUUGAUGAUUAUUCUAGAUAUGGUUACAUAAGUCUGAAUUCUUUGAAAAGUUCAAAGUACUCCCCUUUGACAGGGGAGGUGAAUACCUCUCAAUUGAGUUUCAAACUUAGCUCAGAGAAAAAGACAUCAUCUCACAAUUUACUCCCCCACAGUUAAAUGGUGUUGCAAAUAGAAAGAACAUGAUCCUAUUAGAUAUGGUUCGUUCGAUGAUGAGCAUGUCAAAAUUACCUGUGUCUUUUUGGGGUUAUGCCUUGGAGACAGUUGUCUAUAUUUUAAACAGGAUACCCACUAAGUCAGUACCUAACACUCCAUAUGAAUUGUGGACUGGCAAAAAGCCAAAUCUAAAUCAUUUCAGGAUAUGGGGAUGUCCAGCUCAUGUUAAAAGGUUUAACCUUGAUAAGCUGGAAUCAAAGACUGAGAAGUGUUCAUUUGUGGGUUAUCCCAAAAUGUACACUGGAUCUUAUCUUUAUAUUCCUAGUGAGCACAAGGUAAUUACCAGCAGAAAUGUUACUUUUCUGAAGGAAGAGUAUAGCCUAAACAAAGGCAGAAACAAGAUUGUUUUUGAUGAGUAGUCAGCUAAGCCUGCAAAAAAUGAGAACAAUGAGAAAAAAGAAAUAGUACCCACUGAUGAUCUUGAAUCGUUCAGAGAUCAAGAGCCUAGAGGGAGUAAGAGAAUAAUUAGACCUCCGAUGAGAUAUUUAAUGUUAAAUGAGAUUUUACAAUUGAAAUUGGAGGAUUUGGAUGAUGAUCCAUAUACUUACUCCGAGAUAAUAAGUGAUAAAGAUGCUGCACAUUGGAAAGUGGCAAUGGAAUCACAGAUGGACUCUAUGUAUUCCAAUCAGGUCUGGACAUUGGUAGACCGACCAGAAGUUAUUAAGCCUAUAGGUUGCAAAUGAGUCUACGAAAGGAUAAGAGGACCUACCGAAAAGAUAGAAACUUUUAAGGCUAUAUUAGUAGCAAAGGGUUAUACUCAGAAGCAUAGUAUAGACUAUGAGGAAACCUUCUCGCCAGUGGCCAUAUUGAAGUCCAUAAGAUUCUGUUGUUUAUAACUGCUCACUAUAAUUAUGAAAAAUGGCAGAUGGAUGUUAAAACCGUAUUUUUAAAUGGGUACAUCUAAGAGGAGAUUUAUAUCGAACAGCCUGAAGGCUUUAUAUCUCGUGCAAGUGAAUCUAAAGUGUGCAAGUUGAUCAAGUCAUUUAUGGACUAAAAUAAGCAUUACACCACUGGAACAUCCAAUUUGAUGAGUCAAUCAAAGAGUUUGGUUUCUCACAAAAUAUGAAUGAGCCUUGUGUUUGCAAGAAUAUUAGUGGGAGUACUUUCCUAUUCCUAGUCCUUUAUGUAAACGAUAUUCUACUUAUAGGAAAUGACGUCGAAGCGAUGUCAACUGUGAAAAUAUAGUUGUCGAAUCAUUUUUCAAUAAAAGACCUCAGGAAAGCAUAUUGUUUAGAGACCGAAAAAAGAGGAUUUUAGGACUUUCACAGCUUAACUACAUUGACAGCAUGCUGGUUAAAUUCAGCAUUCAAGAUGCCAAAAAAGGAUUCUUACCCUCCAGGCAUGACAUUCAUCUCUCAAAGAAAAUGAGUCCUAAAACUCAAGAGGAGAGAGAUAAGAUGAGGAGCUGUCCCUAUGCCUCAGCAAUUGAGAACCUCAUGUAUGCAAUGUUGCGUAAAAGACCAAAUAUCAGUUAUACAAUCUGUGUAGUGAGUAGAUAUCAAUUUGAUCGAGCCCUGAGCAUUAGGCAGCAAUAAAGCAUAUCCUCAAGUAUCUUAAAAAAACUAAACACUAUUUUCUGAUGUUUGGAGGUAAAGAUCUACUGGCUGAAGUUAUACUGAUUCAGAUUUUUAAUCAGACAUUGAUGAUAAAAAAUCUACAUCUGGAUAUGUGUUUACACUAGAUAAAGGGGCAAUAAGUUAGAGAAGCAUCAAGCAAGAUACUAGUACAGAUUCUACUACUAAGACAGAAUAUAUAGCUGCAAAGAAAGUUGUGUGCAUUUGCAAGUUCAUUUAGGAACUUAAGAUCGUCCUAUCAAUUGAGUCUCCUAUCACCAUUUAUUGUGACAACAAUGGUACAAUUGCACAAGUAGUAGAACCAAGAGCUCAUAGGAGGACGGAGCACAUAAAAAGGGGAUUUCAUCUCAUACGCGACAUCAUGAACCGAGGCAAUGUGGUGAUAUUAAAGAUAACAUCAAAAGAAAACAUUGCAGAUCCGUUCAUAAAGACUUUGACACAGAAAAUAUUUGAGAACCAUCUUGAGUCAAUAAAAAUCAGAUGUGUAUGAGUGGUUCUGAGUGCAAGUAGAAAAUUAUUAAAUAUAUGCCCUCAGAAAUCAAUUUGUAAAACACCCUAGGAGAUCAUUACUAGCCCUCAGAAACCAAUUUGUUAGAUAUAUGCAACCAAUUUGUUAGAUAUAUGCCCUCAGAAACCAAUUUGUUAGAACAUUGCUAGCCCUAAGUCUCAAGCACAUUCUCCAUCAUCUUCUUAGCACCCUAGGAGAUCACAAUAAAAUUAUGUAUAUUUUGAACUUCAAAAUAGAUUAGCACCAUUAUUGUCCAAAUUUCUCAAAACAGAAUCAUGCAUUCAUCCAAAAAAGAUGACUGAAAACGGAUACAUGCACAUGAACCACAGCAGAGAAUUGAUGAAUUAAGAUAUGAUAGUUAUAUUACAUACAUUUACCUCAGCAGUCCAUUUUUGAUCAUCAGCCAAUACAAUAACUACUCAUCAACAGGAGCACCAUAAUUUUCCCUUUCUAACUUUGAUCGAGCCAAUGGAUACGUACCACUACA